rfam:Omnitrophica WOR_2 bacterium RIFCSPHIGHO2_01_FTLL_52_10 rifcsphigho2_01_scaffold_53033, whole genome shotgun sequence.
GCCGAUAAAGGUAAACCCGGGGAAACCCGGGGACACAAAGCCACAGGCCUACAUUAUCCAAUACCUAAAAGGCCCUUCGGAAACGUCGGGGCAGUUGAAGACCAUUGGACAGGUUGACGAUAAUAUGGCGGCUGGGCUGCCGAAG